CGGACAUUCUGUUUUAAAUGUUAUCUCAACGAAGAGGAAAGUGAGGUCUAUAUGUGUGGAAUUUGAAAAGGUUUAAUCCAUUUAUGCGGUUUAAAAAGCACUUAUUUCAAUACCAGAAAAACUAUCUUUGUACCAAACGCCACUUCUUUGAGGGUCAUAGAUCUGGACAAAUUCUGGAUUUUAGGGAAUUCGCCUUAGUUAUGAGCCCAGAUAGAGUGAUUUGUUUGCAUAGGCCCAAGUUCAGAUGCAAUGGGGGUCCAAAGUUGCUAAUUUGGUUCCAGAAACUCAAUGAUGGCAUUGUUAAAUGGUUUGAUUUGUCACACCCGAGUUCAGAAUAAUACGCAGCUACAUUUGAUGUAUUGCAGUUUCAUGGUUAUGGGGAGCCCUUUUCUUCAAUGCAAAAGAAGUGAGCUUAUCGAUGACAUCUGGC